UCUUCCGUAGUAUAGUGGUCAGUAUGUGAGCUUGUCACUUUCGCUUUGUACCCGGCGGUAUAAAGCGUAAAUAACUUCGCUCGAGACCCGGGUUCAAUUCCCGGCGGGGGAG